rnacentral:rRNA from 1 species
UACGGAGGGGGCUAGCGUUGUUCGGAGUUACUGGGCGUAAAGCGCGCGUAGGCGGACUGUUAAGUCGGGGGUGAAAUCCCGGGGCUCAACCCCGGAACUGCCUUCGAUACUGGCGGUCUAGAGGUCUGGAGAGGUGAGUGGAAUUCCGAGUGUAGAGGUGAAAUUCGUAGAUAUUUGGAGGAACGCCAGUGGCGAAGGCGGCUCACUGGCCAGAUUCUGACGCUGAGGUGCGAAAGCGUGGGGAGCAAACAGG